rnacentral:rRNA from 1 species
CACCAGGUCAGGACACGGUAAGGAUUGACGGACUGAAGGCUUCUUUCUCGAUUCCGUGGAAAGUGGUGCAUGGUCCGUUUUUGGUUGGUGGAUCGAUCCGUCUGGUUAAUUCCGUUAACGAACGAGACCUCGGCACUCCGAAUAGCGCGGCGGACGUCGCGGCCUCCGGGCCGUCUUCCGCACGAGCUUCUUAGAGGGACCGUCCCCCGCCGGGGAAGGAGGUGCGAGGCAACGACAGGUCUGUGAUGCCCUUAGAUGUUCUGGGCCGCACGCGCAUUACACUGACGCGUCCAACGGGUGACUCCCGACCCGAAGGGGCCGGGGAAUCCGCAAGGCGCGUCGUGAUGGGGAUUGAACGUUGCAAUUGUUGUUCACGAACGAGGAAUUCCUAGUAGGCGCGGGUCAUCAACCCGCGCCGAUUACGUCCCUGCCCUUUGUACACACC